rnacentral:rRNA from 1 species
UACGUAGGGAGCAAGCGUUGUCCGGAUUUACUGGGCGUAAAGGGCGCGUAGGCGGUCUAUUAAGUGUGAAGUGAAAUCUCCAGGGCUCAACCCGGAAACUGCUUUGCAUACUGAUAGACUGGAGGGACGCAGAGGUUGACAGAAUUCCCGGUGUACCGGUGAAAUGGGUAGAUAUCGGGAGGAAUACCGAUGGCGAAGGCAGUCAACUGGGCGUUUCCUGACGCUGAGGCGCGAAAGCGUGGGUAGCAAACAGG